UACGUAGGUGGCAAGCGUUGUCCGGAUUUAUUGGGUUUAAAGGGUGCGUAGGUGGUCUAUUAAGUCAGUGCUGAAAUAUCCCGGCUUAACCGGGAGGGUGGCAUUGAUACUGAUGGACUUGAGUAAAGUUGAGGUAGGCGGAAUUGACGGUGUAGCGGUGAAAAUGCUUAGAUAUCGUCAAGAACACCUAUUGCGAAGGCAGCUUACUAAGCUUUAACUGACACUGAUGCACGAAAGUGUGGGGAUCAAACAGG
rnacentral:rRNA from 1 species